rnacentral:rRNA from 1 species
AAACUUUCAACAACGGAUCUCUUGGUUCCCGCAUCGAUGAAGAACGCAGCGAAAUGCGAAAAUUAAUGUGAAUUGCAGAAUUCCGUGAAUCAUCGAGUCUUUGAACGCACAUUGCGCCCUUUGGUAUUCCGAAGGGCGUGCCUGUUCGAGCGUCAUU